CCUACGGGAGGCAGCAGUGAGGAAUAUUGGACAAUGGGCGCAAGCCUGAUCCAGCCAUGCCGCGUGCAGGAAGACGGUCCUAUGGAUUGUAAACUGCUUUUGUACAGGAAGAAACACUCCCUCGUGAGGGAGCUUGACGGUACUGUAAGAAUAAGGAUCGGCUAACUCCGUGCCAGCAGCCGCGGUAAUACGGAGGAUCCAAGCGUUAUCCGGAAUCAUUGGGUUUAAAGGGUCCGUAGGCGGUUUAAUAAGUCAGUGGUGAAAUCUGGUCGCUCAACGAUCAAACGGCCAUUGAUACUGUUAGACUUGAAUUAUUAGGAAGUAACUAGAAUAUGUAGUGUAGCGGUGAAAUGCUUAGAUAUUACAUGGAAUACCAAUUGCGAAGGCAGGUUACUACUAAUGGAUUGACGCUGAUGGACGAAAGCGUGGGGAGCGAACAGGAUUAGAUACCCUGGUAGUCCACGCCGUAAACGAUGGAUACUAGCUGUUGGGCGCAAGUUCAGUGGCUAAGCGAAAGUGAUAAGUAUCCCACCUGGGGAGUACGUUCGCAAGAAUGAAACUCAAAUGAAUUGACGG
rnacentral:rRNA from 1 species